AUUUGCUUUGAAGUUGCCUACCUUAUCCAUUUAAUCCCUGAUUCAUUGAAUGAGGGAAUAAUUGUAUAAAGACAGAAAACUAUUUGGUUGUAAUGUUGCAACCUUUUCUGUAAAGGGUUGCCAGCCGUCCUCCAGGAGGAUUAAGUAUACUGGGUGUGCUGGCUUUUGAUUGGAGCCCUGCUCUAACGCACAACACUGUGGUAUAAGCGGGAUCAUUCCUCCGUUCUGUACAUUACCUGGGGGGGAAAAGGAACUCCACCAACGGACUCAGCCUCGUCCUGCUGCGUCGUCCAUUACUUCCAAGCUGACCAUGCUAACAUUGGAGACAUCAAUGAAGACGUCGCCCUUCCACCCUAGAUCUUGUGGUCUUGGAAUUUAACAUUUAUUUGACCAUUCUUGAUCUCAUGAGUAGCUUUCAUUGAGCAGUGUUGUCUAUCUAUUGUGAUGAUGAAUGGGUGUGUGGACGGGAUGCAGCGAAGCAGCCGAGCCUUGGAGGCUGACCCCAUCUGGCUUCAGCCUGGUUAUGUUCUAGAGUGAGUUCCAG
ensembl:lncRNA